CUUUUAAAGGAUAGUAGUCAUCCACUGGCUUUAGGCGCC
rnacentral:tRNA from 1 species